UUCUGCCUGCUUUGUCAGAACACUAAAAUCAAAUCAAUACAAAGAAGAUCAGCAUGGGUCCUGUGCAAGGACGAUAUGCAAAUUCAUGAAGUGUUUCAUUUUUUU
rfam:Callipepla squamata strain Texas jcf7180005234778, whole genome shotgun sequence.